rnacentral:piRNA from 1 species
UAACUCCACUGGAGGUCCUCUGUAGGUA